GACGAACGCUGGCGGCGUGCUUAACACAUGCAAGUCGAACGGAAAGGCCUCGUUCGGGGGGUCCCCGAGUGGCGAACGGGGGAGUAACACCCGAGUAACCUGCCUUUCUCUCUGGGAUAACUUCUGGAAACUGGGGCUAUUUCCGGACAGGAGCUCCUGCGGCUUGGGGGGGGUUGGAGAGUUUAGGCGGUUGGGGAUGGGCUCGGGGCUUAGCAGCUUGUGGUUGGGGUAUUGGCUUACCAAAGCUUUGGCGGGUAGCCGGCCUGAGAGGGUGACCAGCAACAGUGAGACUGAGAUACGGCCCAGACUCCGACGGGAGGCAGAGGUGGGGAAUAUUGAUCAAUGAGUGGGAGCCUGAUGCAGCAACGCCGAGUGCGGGAGGACGGUGUUGGGGUUGGAGACCGCAUUCGCUCAUGACGAAGAUGUGUGUGACGGUAGUGGGUAAAGAAGCACCGGCUAACUACGUG
rnacentral:rRNA from 1 species